CUCAAAGAAUUGACGGGGCCUGCACAAGCGGUGGAGCAUGUGGUUUAUUCGAAGCAACGCGCAGAACCUUACCAGCGUUUGACAUCCUGAUCGCGGAUAGUGGAGACACUUUCCUUCAGUUCGGCUGGAUCAGUGACAGGUGCUGCAUGGCUGUCGUCAGCUCGUGUCGUGAGAUGUUGGGUUAAGUCCCGCAACGAGCGCAACCCUCGUCCUUAGUUGCCAUCAUUUAGUUGGGCACUCUAAGGAAACCGCCGGUGAUAAGCCGGAGGAAGGUGGGGAUGACGUCAAGUCCUCAUGGCCCUUACGCGCUGGGCUACACACGUGCUACUAUGGCAACUACAGUGGGCAGCAAACCUGCGAGGGUGAGCUAAUCUCCAAAAGUUGUCUCAGUUCGGAUUGUUCUCUGCAACUCGAGAGCAUGAAGGCGGAAUCGCUAGUAAUCGCGGAUCAGCAUGCCGCGGUGAAUACGUUCCCAGGCCUUGUACACACCGCCCGUCACACCAUGGGAGUUGGAUUCACCCGAAGGCGCUGCGCUAACCCGCAAGGGAGGCAGGCGACCACGGUGGGUUUAGCGACUGGGGUGAAGUCGUAACAAGGUAGCCGUAA
rnacentral:rRNA from 1 species